rnacentral:rRNA from 1 species
GAUGAACGCUAGCGGGAGGCCUAACACAUGCCAGCCGAGCGGUAUUGUUUCUUCGGAAAUGAGAGAGCGGCGUACGGGUGCGUAACACGUGUGCAACCUGCCUUUAUCUGGGGGAUAGCCUUUCGAAAGGAAGAUUAAUACUCCAUAAUAUAUUUAACGGCAUCGUUUAAUAUUGAAAGCUCCGGCGGAUAGAGAUGGGCACGCGCAAGAUUAGCUAGUUGGUGAGGUAACGGCUCACCAAGGCGAUGAUCUUUAGGGGGCCUGAGAGGGUGAUCCCCCACACUGGUACUGAGACACGGACCAGACUCCUACGGGAGGCAGCAGUGAGGAAUAUUGGUCAAUGGGUGCAAGCCUGAACCAGCCAUCCCGCGUGAAGGACGACUGCCCUAGGGGUUGUAAACUUCUUUUGUAUAGGGAUAAACCUACCCUCGAGAGGGUAGCUGAAGGUACUAGACGAAUAAGCACCGGCUAACUCCGUG